rnacentral:rRNA from 1 species
GACGAACGCUGGCGGCGUGCCUAAUACAUGCAAGUAGAACGCUGAAGGAGGAGCUUGCUCUUCUGGAUGAGUUGCGAACGGGUGAGUAACGCGUAGGUAACCUGCCUGGUAGCGGGGGAUAACUCUUGGAAACGAUAGCUAAUACCGCAUAAGAGUAGAUGUUGCAUGACAUUUGCUUAAAAGGUGCAAUUGCAUCACUACCAGAUGGACCUGCGUUGUAUUAGCUAGUUGGUGGGGUAACGGCUCACCAAGGCGACGAUACAUAGCCGACCUGGGAGGGUGAUCGGCCACACUGGGACUGAGACACGGCCCAGACGCCUACGGGAGGCAGCAGUAGGGAAUCUGCGGCAAUGGACGGAAGUCUGACCGAGCAACGCCGCGUGAGUGAAGAAGGGUUUCGGAUCGUAAAGCUCGGUUGUAAGAGAAGAACGAGUGUGAGAGUGGAAAGUUCACACUGUGACGGUAUCUGACCAGAAAGGGACGGCUAACUACGUG